GCCAGGCAUGGUGUGCAUGACUGUAAUCCCAGUGGCUUGGGAGGCUGAGGCAGGAGGAUUGCAAGUUCAAAGCCAGCCUCAGCAAUGUAGCAAGGCCUUAGGCAACUUUGCAAGAUCCUGUCUCUA
rnacentral:sRNA from 1 species